rnacentral:tRNA from 3 species
GUUAAAGUGGCAGAAAUUAUGCGUUAGAUUUAAGCUCUAAAGAUAAGGGUGUCCUUUUUUAACA